rnacentral:rRNA from 1 species
AAAAACAUAGUUUUGAGAGAUGAAAAAUACAUUCAGAAUUUCCCCUGCCCACUGAAACAUAUUAAUUUUAACGGCCGCAGUACUUUGACUGUGCUAAGGUAGCAUAAUAAAUUGGCUUUUAAUUGAAGUCGAGAAUGAACGGGAUUACAAUCAAUUCCUGUCUCGCUCUAGGUUUUUUGAAAUUACUAAUUAGGUGAAAAUUCCUAAACAAUUAUUUAAUAGACGAGAAGACCCUUAGAGUUUUAAUUAAUAAAGUUGAAUGUGUAUAAUCUAUAAUUAUAUAAAUUAUACUUUACUUUAAUAUUUUUGUUGGGGCAACAAAUUAACAGUUUAAGUUAACUUAGUAAUUUUGUGAUUAAUUAAUAAUAUAUUUAAAUAUUACACACCAAAAGUAUUUUAUAGAUGGAUAAGACUACCUAAGGGAUAACAGCAUAAUUUAAGUUUAAGAUUAUGACCUCGAUGUUGGAUUAGGGCCUUAUUUGAUUAACCAUUUAAUAAGAAGUGUUCUGUUCGAACAAUAUUUCUCCUA